UUAAAUUUUAUUUUAAUAUAAUAAAUAUUAACGAGCUGAGCUCGAGCUUGGUUCGUUUAUAUUAUAAAUGAGUUUUUGAUACGAGCUGAACUCGAAUCGAGCUCGAGUUUAAUAUAUAUGUAACGAGCCGAGUUUGAGCUUGAAUAUUAAAACUCGAAUCGAGCUCGAGUCGAGCUCGAGCCUGAAAAAAAAUAUAACGAGCUGAGCUUGAACUAUUCAAAG
rnacentral:misc_RNA from 1 species